CAGGCAGAAGGUACUCAUGAAAGAGUCCAAGCCUGAGAAAAGUCCUUUACAUCGGUCACAGGUCCUGGGGACAGCAUGGAGAAUAAACAGCUGGAGCAAAGGGCCACUCAAUGGAUAAGAAGAUGUGAGAGGGAUAAAGUAUGUUACUCAGAAACCAGAAGUCCAGCUCAUCUCAUCUGGUGGGGCAGGCUCUGCAGUAAACAGGAGAGCUCCUCAUUUGAGCCAGUUACUAACAGGAGAUCAGAAGCAGAUGCCCUGAAACCGGAGUUACAGAUGGUUGUGAGGUGUGAUCCUUCCCAUGCCAUGUCCUCCUGUCUCCCACCGACCCACACGCCCCCCAUGUGGGUGCUGAGAACCAAGCCUGGAUCCUUGUAAGAGCAACAAGUGCUCUCGACUGCCGAGCCACCUCUCUGGCUUAAGAGAAUCAGUCAGCUGCCCGGCACCUGAUCUUCACUUCACUUCUAUCUCCGACACUUCUGAUUUACCUGCCUUUUCUUUCCUCUUUGGUUAAGUGCAGAUGUUUCUCCAUGCAUUAAAACCUGAUUGUACCAUGAGGGCCCUAA